rnacentral:rRNA from 1 species
GUGUCAGCAGCCGCGGUAAUACGUAGGGACCAAGCGUUGUUCGGAUUUACUGGGCGUAAAGGGCGCGUAGGCGGCGCUGUAAGUCACUUGUGAAAUCUCCGGGCUUAACUCGGAACGGUCAAGUGAUACUGCAGUGCUAGAGUGCGGAAGGGGCAAUCGGAAUUCUUGGUGUAGCGGUGAAAUGCGUAGAUAUCAAGAGGAACACCUGAGGUGAAGACGGGUUGCUGGGCCGACACUGACGCUGACAGCGCGAAAGCCAGGGGAGCAAACGGGAUUAGAUACCCCUGUAGUCC